AUAAAAAGGAUUUGUAUUAAUUUUGGACUUAAUUUUUUUUUUCUUGUAGAAUGUGCUGUAAAGAAGAAUUGUCAAUUGUGCACAAAAGAUAAGAAAUAUAUGCUGAAUAGAUAAUUGAAAAUAGAUCUUCCAGAAAGAGCAGAAGGAAGUUUCUUCAAUGGCUUCCUUCAGGAUUUUAAGCAUCCUUACAGCCUCUUUGAGAAUGAUUGAACUUCCAAAUUUCC
rnacentral:lncRNA from 1 species